rnacentral:rRNA from 1 species
GAUGAACGCUGGCGGCGUGCCUAAUACAUGCAAGUCGAGCGGACAGACGAGAGUGCUUGCACUCUCUGACGUUAGCGGCGGACGGGUGAGUAACACGUGGGUAACCUACCUAUAAGACUGGGAUAACUUCGGGAAACCGGAGCUAAUACCGGAUAAUAUUUAGCUUCGCAUGAAGCAAUAGUGAAAGACGGUUCUGCUGUCACUUAUAGAUGGACCCGCGGUGUAUUAGCUAGUUGGUGAGGUAACGGCUCACCAAGGCAACGAUACAUAGCCGACCUGAGAGGGUGAUCGGCCACACUGGGACUGAGACACGGCCCAGACUCCUACGGGAGGCAGCAGUAGGGAAUCUUCCGCAAAGGACGAAAGUCUGACGGAGCAAUGCCGCGUGAGUGAAGAAGGUGUUCGGAUCGUAAAACUCUGUUGUAAGGGAAGAACAAGUACGUUAGUAACUGAACGUACCUUGACGGUACCUUACCAGAAAGCCACGGCUAACUACGUG